UUUUGUAAACCAAGUUUUAUUUUUUUUUCUUGGUCUCAAUAAAUUAAGAUUGAACCUGGGAGAUGACAGGGCUCUCAAUAAGGGGAGGCAGGAGGUAAUGUUUCACUACUUUAAUGAUCAGAUCUGAUUGCUGUGAAUUUUAUGGUUGACAAAUUUAACUAAUGGAAAUAUAUGUCUAUAUAAUUCUUUAAAAGAGUAUAAUUUACCUCUUCACUUUAAAUUUGUUAUUGAAAGCCCUGAAUCAUGUUUACCUGUAGAUGGUAGUUAUCAAUUUAGUAUCUCAUUUAAUAAGUGCAAACUCUUGUUGUUUUGAAAUCAGUGAAAGAUAUUUUUGCACCUUAACUCUUCAUCCAGUUUUUGGAUAUUGGCAGCGAUGAGUGAAUUUUAUUUGAUCAACUAUACACUGUACAUUGAAUGGCUCAUUGUAUUAUUUGUCAGUUUGAAUAGCUUUCAAAGAUCUGUCAUCUCUCUACUUACUCUAUUUUUCUGUCAUUCAUUAUAUUCAUUACUCUUGUUCAAAAUAUGUCCAGUCUGAUUGAUGUAAAUAAGAAUUACCAGGGUAGACAACACUGUGUAUGAGUAAGGAUUGGAUGGACAUUAUCAUUUACAAUAAAAACGGUGCAUAUACCGGUACAUG
rnacentral:sRNA from 1 species